UGGGGAAUUUUGGACAAUGGGCGAAAGCCUGAUCCAGCAAUGCCGCGUGUGUGAAGAAGGCCUUCGGGUCGUAAAGCACUUUUGUCCGGAAAGAAAUCCUUGGCUCUAAUACAGUCGGGGGAUGACGGUACCGGAAGAAUAAGCACCGGCUAACUACGUGCCAGCAGCCGCGGUAAUACGUAGGGUGCAAGCGUUAAUCGGAAUUACUGGGCGUAAAGCGUGCGCAGGCGGUUUGCUAAGACCGAUGUGAAAUCCCCGGGCUCAACCUGGGAACUGCAUUGGUGACUGGCAGGCUAGAGUAUGGCAGAGGGGGGUAGAAUUCCACGUGUAGCAGUGAAAUGCGUAGAGAUGUGGAGGAAUACCGAUGGCGAAGGCAGCCCCCUGGGCCAAAUACUGACGCUCAUGCACGAAAGCGUGGGGAGCAAACAGGAUUAGAUACCCUGGUAGUCCACGCCCUAAACGAUGUCAACUAGUUGUUGGGGAUUCAUUUCCUUAGUAACGUAGCUAACGCGUGAAGUUGACCGCCUGGGGAGUACGGUCGCAAGAUUAAAACUCAAAUGAAUUGACGGGGUCAUAGCUGUUUCCU
rnacentral:rRNA from 1 species